UACGUAGGGUGCAAGCGUUGUCCGGAAUUAUUGGGCGUAAAGAGCUCGUAGGCGGUCUGUCGCGUCGGCUGUGAAAACUCGGGGCUCAACCCCGAGCUUGCAGUCGAUACGGGCAGGCUAGAGUUCGGCAGGGGAGACUGGAAUUCCUGGUGUAGCGGUGAAAUGCGCAGAUAUCAGGAGGAACACCGGUGGCGAAGGCGGGUCUCUGGGCCGAUACUGACGCUGAGGAGCGAAAGCGUGGGGAGCGAACAGG
rnacentral:rRNA from 1 species